AGGUGACUCCCAGACAGUAUCCUCACAGGAACGAGGGAGCCUGGGAAUCAAGUCCAGGAGGGAAGACUGUGCAGCAGAACCAAUUGCCACAUCAGAUCUGAUGGAAUGGACCAUGGCAUAGUGUUUAGAAAAGCCAAUAAUUCAAGAUGGCUGACAGUGAAGAAGAUUCAGGCACAAGGCAGUGAUGGUAAUACCAGUGGUUGAACCUCUUCCAUUUCUGAAGUGAAAGCACCGGUAUACUGACUGAAAAGCAGGUCAAAGCUACAUCCCUCUUGGGAUGGAAGAAAAUGGAACUGAGGCAUCCACUUGCCAGUUGAUCCCAACUGAUCCCAGCAAGGGCACUUGACAAGCAAAACUUCACAUCCCGAAGUCAGUGAGUCAAAAUAAAAGCUUUUCUGAGUGGAAGCUCAAAGAUUUCACUCAUCCCUCCGUUGUGAAGUACCAAUUUCUUAUGUAUAAUCUGCACUCAUUUUGCAACUGAGAGGUCAGGCAAGCCUCCUUUGAGACUGCCACAAAAUGCUCCAUAACAAACCACUGGAAACUGCAAAGGUAUGAUGCAUGCUAUACCCUACUCCCUCUCCAGGCUGAGUGUGAUACUUGUGUGACCCCCCGCACCAGUCAGAGGAAUAUACGAUAACUUGACCAUUUGCUCUAUAAUUUGUUUG